rnacentral:rRNA from 1 species
UGGGGAAUAUUGCACAAUGGGCGAAAGCCUGAUGCAGCGACGCCGCGUGAGGGAUGACGGCCUUCGGGUUGUAAACCUCUUUCAUCAGGGACGAAGCGCAAGUGACGGUACCUGCAGAAGAAGCACCGGCUAACUACGUGCCAGCAGCCGCGGUAAUACGUAGGGUGCAAGCGUUGUCCGGAAUUACUGGGCGUAAAGAGUUCGUAGGCGGUUUGUCGCGUCGUUUGUGAAAACCAGCAGCUCAACUGCUGGCUUGCAGACGAUACGGGCAGACUUGAGUACUGCAGGGGAGACUGGAAUGCCUGGUGUAGCGGUGAAAUGCGAAGAUAUCAGGAGGAACACCGGUGGCGAGGGCGGGUCUCUGGGCAGUAACUGACGCUGAGGAACGAAAGCGUGGGUAGCGAACAGG